rnacentral:lncRNA from 1 species
GCCCUGGUAGUGAUAGAUUGCUGCAGGAACUGGAAGGGUCAAAGAAAAUGUGAAUUAGAGCCCUUACAACGUUAUAGGAGAGCCAUCUGAGUUGGAUACAGCUACUGUCUUUGCCAAAUGUCAACUUCAGGAAAUGAAUAGUCAUGUAUCAGUCAACCUAGGACUGAGAAAGUGUGAAAUGGGACUGAAGAAAAUGGUGAGAUCAGAUUCUUAGGAAACAGAUUCUGAUGGAGUGACCUGGGACCCAUCACCUGUAAGGCCCACAGGAAGAAGGGUCAGAUAUCAAUCACCCAGAGAUCAUUACACAGAAGCUAGACGGCUCAAUCCUAGAUGAUUCUUACAUCUCUGUCUCCACAGAAGGCCAGCAUUACAAUUGCCAUCAUAGGAUCCAGGUCCAGGUCAGAAACAUACCCAUUGCCAAGCUUGGCUACCAGCAUUGGCUCCUCUGGACCAUAGAUUCAGCUGACUCCCAAGGAAAUACUUCUCAGAAGAUUUCACUUCAAUGGAACUCUGCCUUAAACAAAGACAUCUGGCACCAUUUAUGAGUGCAAAUGCAGAGGCAGGAUGACUCUCAGCAAGCAAUUUUACAUGUGCUGACAUCAACACCUGUUCAUCGCCACAACGAGACACCAACUAUUCCUAAGAGGAAAAAGAUGUAACCUAUAUACCCACAAAGUGGAUUGGGAAUAUAUGGUCAUAUGGUAUAUUAAAACCAUAUCAUAGAAACUAUUGAGAAUUUACCUAACACAUCAUGACAACAAAGUGAACAGCACCCUACCUGAACCAUGUAAAAGGGAAAAAGCUGUAAUGAAGACAUCCCUAUGAACCUGUCAACUAUCUUGUGUGUGUACACUGGAAGACAGACAGACAUAGAAGUCCUGACUGUCCUUGAUGCUUCAGCUCAGCAUGCUACUUGAUGUCCUACAGCUUGAUGUCGCCCACUAAAGUUUCUAGUUUUUGACAGGUCCUAUGUCUCUUAGGCUCUACUCUACCCUGCAACCCAAUAACUUGGCUAUGUGGGUCUACAAAAUCUUCAACCAGAUUAAUAAAGGUCUACUGUAAACACCUUCA